UUUUUUGCUGCUACACCGAAUAAAGGUUUUCAGAAAGAUCCUGCAUCCUGGAUUUUGUAAAGCAAGAAGGAGCAAGCAAUUAAGCAGUUGGAUUACAACGACCACCUCACUAAUCCAUUCAAUGUUCCUAGUCUGAGCCAGCUUUCAUAUUAAGUGGCUCAUGAAUAUGUGAGUUUAUUCAAGUAUUCACUCAUUCAUAUAUUAUUUGUACGUUAUUACCCUAUGCCUGUUUUUCCCAUUGUGUUUUUA